rnacentral:rRNA from 1 species
UACGUAGGGGGCAAGCGUUGUCCGGAAUCAUUGGGCGUAAAGCGCGUGUAGGCGGCUCGGUAAGUCUGCUGUGAAAGUCCAGGGCUCAACCCUGGGAUGCCGGUGGAUACUGUCGAGCUCGAGUCCGGAAGAGGCGAGUGGAAUUCCUGGUGUAGCGGUGAAAUGCGCAGAUAUCAGGAGGAACACCAAUGGCGAAGGCAGCUCGCUGGGACGUAACUGACGCUGAGACGCGAAAGCGUGGGGAGCAAACAGG